rnacentral:rRNA from 1 species
UACGGAGGGUGCGAGCGUUAAUCGGAAUAACUGGGCGUAAAGGGCACGCAGGCGGGCUUUUAAGUGAGAUGUGAAAUCCCCGGGCUGAACCUGGGAAUAGCAAUUCAGACUGGGAGUCUAGAGUACUUUAGGGACGGGUAGAAUUCCACGUGUAGCGGUGAAAUGCGUAGAGAUGUGGAAGAAUACCGAAGGCGAAGGCAGCCUCCUGGGUAUGUACUGACGCUGAUGUGCGAAAGCGUGGGGAGCAAACAGG